ACACACACCAACACCUUACCCACUACACAAUCGAGAGCAACAGGAAGGUAGGGACAGUCCUGCUUCAGAACACACACACACACACACAUUCACUCACUUACGCACACACACACAUUCACUCACUUAUGCACACACACACACACAUUCACUCACUUACGCACGCACACACUCAUACAAGCAAGCACCCGCACACAAACCUACAGGCUGAAAAAUCAGCUGGGCAAAAGAUGCAGGAAAAAACAGAUCAGAGAGCAUGUUGAUAAGGGGGGGGGGGGAGAAAAAAAGAAAAAAAUGACACGCAAAUGUUUAUACAUAUGCAUACACACGCUGUAUGGAUAUGUAUACAUGCACAUACCAACAUACAAACACACGUAUUUGUAAAGAUAUCUAUGUAUGCACGUGAAAGUGUUAUGUAUAUGUGCAUGUAUAUAUAUAUAUCUAUCUAUCUGUAUGUAUGUAGAUCGAUCAAGCUGUGAGUUCAGUAAAAGCUUAUAUUUCACAAGUAUAGUCUUUCUUUCUCACCUAUACAUAUACAUAUAUACACACACACACACACACACACACAUAUAUAUAUAUAUAAACACAUUUAUUUAUUAUCUACUGUACAUAUGGAUCUAUAACUGAAAGCUCCCAAGCUACGCAGCAGUAAAAAAACACGAAGAAACUGGAAUUCUGUCUCACAAUACACACACACACACAAAACAAAAGUGAAGUUACAAUACAUAAAUUAUGUAGGGGUUUGAAGAACCCGCACAUGGAGUGUUUCAAGAAGUCACCAGAACGAUAGCAAAUGACAAUUUUUUAUUGAUUGUUAAAACAGUUAUUGUUUAGCCCAAGGUCAGAACUGACCAAGCAGAGCUAUGAUCAUAGACAUUCCAUCUGUGACCACCCGGUAUUCUUUUUUUCCUAUGUGCACAGAACUCAGGACCAUACCAUCUAGAGCGCUUUUUCUUCAAAGUUGGUAGUAAGUGAUGAGGGAGAUUUGGCUGCUAUUUCCAGCAGGCAGAACGACCAUGUAAAGGCUCCGUCUUUUGCUUCGAACACCUGUGUUUUAGAUGAACAAGACAACCCUCUGGUACUGGUAGACAAAUGAAUGGAGACAACAUAGGGUAGAGAGAACUGUUUAGUCUUACAGAGAACAUAACAACCUCUGUAGUGUUGGUGCCAUAGUAAAAAGCACUCUCUUCACACACUGUAAGGUGGUUAUCUACAGAAAAAAUGCCAAGAAUGGAAUAUACAAGAGAGAUGUGCUGCCCAAUCUAUCUCAUUUAUACAUGAUACCCUGAUUCAGUCCACAACAACCUGUACAUGCAAGCAGGGAAAGUAAACAUUAAGUAAAGAUGAUGAUUAUGACAUAACAGUUGGAAAUAAGCCAAUACAGGGCUAGUCAUUGUGUCACAAGGCUUGUUAAAAAUAGCAACUAUAUCUCCCUCAAACUAUAUCCUGCCAGCCAUCUUAAGAUACAUUUGAUAACCUAAUACUGAACACAGUGUCUAAAAAACAAAAAUUAAAAAGAUGGGGGGAUGAUUAUAGUUGCAAUAACUUUUGAUUACAGAUGUGCCUGAUCAGGGCUGACAGCUCAACAGUUGCUGCUGAGAACCCCAUAUCCGCCAUUAGACUGUGGCCAUGCUGGGAUAACACCUUGAAGAAUUUUCAAUUGAAUGAAUCAACACCAGUAUUUAUUUUCUUUAAGCCUGGUAUUUAUUGUAUUAGUCUCUUUUGCUGAACUGCUAAGUUACAGGGACAUAACACACCAACAGCAGUUAUCAUGUCAUGGUGGCGGACGAACAAACACAUAGAUAUAUAUAUAAAUAUAUAUAUAUAUAUAUAUAUAUAUAUAUAUAUAUAUAUAUAUAUAUAUAUAUAUAUAUAUAUAUAUAUAUACACAUACAUACACACACAUGAUGGGCUCCUUUCAGUUUCUGUCUACCAAAUCCACUCACAAAGUUUUGGUUGGCCCAAGGCUACAGCAGAAGGCACCUGCCCGAGAAGACAUGCAGUGGGACUGAACCCUGAACCAUGUGAUUGAAAAGUAUCCCCAGUGUGGUUGUAGUCCAAUGGUUGAAACCAGUGAAAGAAAUUAUAGAGGGUUUACAUUCAAGGUCCAAUAGGGUUGACUUAAUCUGUUGCUAUUAUUUAUUUGCCAUAUAAAGCAGCAAGCUGGCAGAAUCGUUAACACACUGGACAAAAUGCUUCGUGCCAUUUUGUCCAUCUUCACAUUCUGAGUUCAAAUACCACCAAGGUCAACUUAGCCUUUCAUCUUUCCGAGAUUGAUAAAACAUAUACCAGUUGAGCACUGGAGUCAAUGUAACUGACUUAUCCCCUCACCCGAAAAUUGCUGGCAUUGUGCUAAAAUUUGAAACCAUUAUUUUCUACAAAUAGUCCUAAAAAGUUUCCCUCUUUGGAGGAAUUGUUCAUCAUUAGAAUUUAUAUUAUCACCAUUUUUCUACAUUUUACAUGUUUCUUUAUGUAACCCCACAAUAUAUUGUCCAGUACUGUUCCCAAUAUUUUUCAUGAACUUUCAGUGGGGAAUAAAGAAAGAAAGCACUGUUUAUAAAACAACUUCCAAAAGUCAGUGAUUAAUUAAUUAUACUUAAAACACACACACACACAGAGUAUUUGUAGCUUUGAGUCAAUGUUAGAAAUGAUAUUAAUUAUUAUGAUAGUCAUAAAUUACAGGUCACUGACACAAUAUGAAACCCAUAUAAAUUAUGAAUGCAUAACUCACACAUUCAAAUAUCAUUGUAUUCUUUUCCAGUUAAGGAUUGAGCCUAUAAAGAUUAGAGAGAGAAAGAAUGUGUAAGUGAAUGUAAACAUGUGUGUAUGUAUAUAUGACAGAUGGAUAGAGAGAGUUAUUGCGUGAGUGUAUAAGUUAGAAUAUGAGUGUGUAUAAGUGUAUAAGAGAGAGAGAAUAAUUGUAUAAGAGAGAAUGUGUGUAUGCAUGUGUAUUAAUAGACCUGCUUAUUCAUACAUGAAAGAGUGAAUAACACGACGGAGAAGAGGGAGGGUGGGGUGGAAAGUAAGUGAAUGAUGAGGUGGUGGGGGGAGAGAAAAGGAAGGUGUUUGUAUAUAUAUAUAUGUGUGUGCGCGUAUCUAUAUGAACUAUUUAUUGGUAACCUAUACAUGCUCAUUCAUGUGUGUGCAUCUGAGAGAGGUGGAGUAAGAAAAAGUGAAAGGGAAUAUGUGUGUGCAUGUAAGUGGGUCCCCCUGAGUAAUAUACCCACACACACAUACACAAAUUGUUAUCACUCCGUUAAUAAAAGAAAAUAAUGAAUAUACUAUAAGAAUUUUCAUUGGAGAUUUUAUGCUUCUUGCUACACAAACACACACACACACACACACACAUUCUUACAUGCCAUACAAACUGUCAGACACUGAAAGCCUAAGCAUGCGAAUAAAAAACUUUUAAAAGUACUUUACUUUUUAAUAAUUUUUGUACCUGCUCUCUAAGGUAGGUUACCUGUAAUGAAGCUAACAAAGCUCAGCUUCCAUUACCAGGUGGUAAUUGUUCUCGUUCAUUCCCAGGUCAGCUAUAAUCAAAAGCAAUCCACCCAUGACCAUCCUGUCUUUUCUCCUGAUAUUAUGUAUCUAGGAAUAAAUUUACCAAUGAAAUCUUUUGGUUUAAGAGUGUAGAUGUGAUCUGAAGUAGAUUUGGCUACUAUUUCUAAAAUUCCGACCAACCACAGUGAGUGUUCUAGACUAAAUGCCUUGUUGUAUUUUGUUUUAUCCUUUUAUGUUCUGAGUUCAAAUCUGGAGGGGGGGGAUCAACUUUGUCUUUCAUUUUUCCAAAAUAGAUAAAAACAAGAUACAAGCUAUCCCAAAGAUACAUAUACAAUGGGCUUCCACACAGUUUCCAUCAACCAAAUUUUCCCAGAGCUAUAAAGAUGAGGUUAAUAGUCCGAAAAAUUAUAAUCUUAUUAACAACUUAUUUCAGACAUUUAGAUAUUUAACGAGAAAUAUCAAUUAUGUAUCAGAAAGCAAACUGGUCUGGUUUUUCACCCCUCACCAAUUAUACACUGUUAGUAUUGAUUUCUUAUGAGCAAAUAAAUAAAUGAACAGAUAAAUGAAUAAAAUAUCCAGAAAUCUGGAAGAAAAGAGGGGCAGUUGAUUUAGUCAACUCCCCUGUGCAUAACUCCCAGACAACAGAAUUUAAUAGUUCAAAAAGAUUUUCUUCUCACUGAGAUAUUUAUCAAUUUAAUGAAAAAAUAUUGGAAACAGCAUUUAAAUAGAAAACUGAUUGUAAAAAAAAACAAAAACAAAGAAUAAUAAUGAUAAUAAUAAUCUUCCCAAAAUCGAAAAAAGAUCAAACUGCCACAUCUAGACUGUAACUCUAUACAGAAUCUAUAGCUUACAGACAGUUCAUAUCAAUCUUAUCGUAAAUGUGGAUGGAAGAGGGAUGUCAGGGUUUCAAGAAUAUAAAAAGAUAGAAGAAAAGUGCUAUCAGGAAGAAUAUCAGAAAGGAUAUUUUGGUAGUAAAGAUCAACAGCUGGUCAAUACAUCUGUAACUAAAGCGACACAAAUAGGGCUGCACCUUCUACGAAAAGAACAGGAUUGCAGGGCCACAAAGAAAAUGCAAACUGCGCAAAUUCAAAGCCAACUCCAUGCCUUCAGUCCCAGCAGACCGCCUGUGCCCAACCUGCAGCAGAGCCUUCCAAGUAUGCAUCAGAAUGAUUGGCCACAGUUGAACAUCCCAUGUCCCAUCUUCUUCUUCUCAUGUGAUGUGCCUGGCCAUCGUCAAGAAUGACAGAAAAUCAAACAGUUAAA